UGGUGGCAAUGGCAAGAGGGAUCCACCUGUUCCCAUACCGAACACAGCAGUUAAGCCUCUUAGCGCCGAAUGUACUUGGUUGGUAACGGCCCGGUAGAAUAGGUCGCCGCCA
rnacentral:rRNA from 1 species